rnacentral:rRNA from 1 species
GAUGAACGCUAGCUACAGGCUUAACACAUGCAAGUCGCGGGGCAGCAUGGGGGUUGCUUGCAAUCCCCGAUGGCGACCGGCGCACGGGUGAGUAACGCGUAUCCAACCUGCCCUUCACCACGGGAUAACCCGGCGAAAGUCGGACUAAUACCGUAUGUUGUCCAUUGACGGCAUCCGAUUUGGACGAAAGGCUAGCGGUGAGGGAUGGGGAUGCGUCCGAUUAGCUUGACGGCGGGGUAACGGCCCACCGUGGCAACGAUCGGUAGGGGUUCUGAGAGGAAGGUCCCCCACACUGGAACUGAGACACGGUCCAGACUCCUACGGGAGGCAGCAGUGAGGAAUAUUGGUCAAUGGGCGGAAGCCUGAACCAGCCAAGUAGCGUGCAGGAUGACGGCCCUAUGGGUUGUAAACUGCUUUUAUGCGGGGAUAAAUGAGCCCACGUGUGGGUUUUGCAGGACCGCAUGAAUAAGAC